rnacentral:rRNA from 1 species
GCCAUGCCAUGCUGAAUAUACCGGUUCUCGUUAGAUCACCGAAGUCAAGCAUUUUGGGCGCGGUCAGUACUUGGGAGGGCGAACCACCUGGGAACACCGCGUGCCGUU